rnacentral:rRNA from 1 species
CCUACGGGGGGCAGCAGUGGGGAAUUUUGCGCAAUGCUCGUAAGAGUGACGCAGCGACGCCGCGUGAAUGACGAAGGCCUUCGGGUCGUAAAGUUCUUUCGACAGGGAAGAAAAUGCCUAUAAGUAACUGUGUAGGUAUUGACGGUCCCUGUAUAAGCAGCCCCGGCUCACUCCGUGCCAGCAGCCGCGGUAGUACGGCGGGGGCGAGCGUUGUUCGGGGUGGCUGGGCGUAAAGAGUGCGUAGGCGGUGUUGUAAGUCAUUAGUCAAAGACUCGAGCUAAACUUUAGUAAGGCUAGUGAGACUAGAAUACUAGAGUAUAAGAGAGGAUGGCAGAAUUCCUGGUGUAGCGGUGAAAUGCGUAGAUAUCAGGAGGAAUACCGUUAGCGAAGGCGGCAAUCUGGCUGGAAACUGACGCUGAGGUGCGAAAGCGUGGGUAGCAAACAGGAUUAGAUACCCGAGUAGUC